GGUCAAGCGAAUUAUAGGUUAAUGGUGGAUGCCUAUGGAGCUGUGAGACGAUGAAGGACGUGAUAAGCUGCGAUAAGCCACGGUUAGGAGCACAUAUCCUUUGACCCGUGGAUUUCCGAAUGGGGUAACCCGGCUGGAGUGAUCCAGUCACUGCGCACCUGAAUAAAAUAGGGUGGCAGAGCGAUACUGAGUGAAGUGAACCAUCUAAGUAACUCGGGAACAGACAUCAAUUGAGAUUCCGCAAGUAGCGGCGAGCGAACGCGGAUCAGGCCAAACCGGUUUUCCGGGGUUGUAGGGCUGCAUGGGGAUGACCCGGCAAGUCAUAAAACUAAGUGAUAGCAGAAUAGUUUGGGAAGGCUAACCAAAGUGGGUGAAAGUCCCGUAUGCGAAAUCCCUUAGUCUUGCUGAUGCAGUACCUGAGUACGGCGGGGCACGUGAAACCCUGUCGGAAUCUGGGUCGACCACGAUCCAAGCCUAAAUACUACACAGCUACCGAUAGUGAACAAGUACCGUGAGGGAAAGGUGAAAAGAACCCUUGUAAAGGGAGUGAAAUAGAACCUGAAACCAUUAACUGGCAAGAUGUCAUAGCCCGCAAGGGUGGUGGCGUGCCUUUUGUAGAAUGAGCCUGCGAGUUAUGUUAUGCAGCAAGGUUAAGGGAUUGAAGUCCCGGAGCCGAAGCGAAAGCGAGUCUGAAUAGGGCGAUUUAAGUUGCAUGCCAUAGACCCGAAGCCAAGGUGAUCUAGUCAUGGGCAGGUUGAAGCUCGGGUAAAACCGAGUGGAGGACCGAACAGUAAUCUGUUAAAAAAGGUAGUGAUGACCUGUGACUCGGAGCGAAAGACUAAACAAACCUGGAAAUAGCUGGCUCUCCCCGAAAUGCCUUUAGGGACAGCCUCAUAGAAAGAUAACGGGGGUAAAGCACUGGAUGAGUGCGGGGGAGUCAAAUCCUACCAAACUCAAUCAAACUCUGAAUACCGUUACCCAGCCUAUGGGAGUGAGACUGCGUGCGACAAGGUUCGUAGUCGAGAGGGAAACAGCCCAGACCAUCAGCUAAGGUCCCAGAAUCAUGCUAAGUGUGAAAUGAAGUGCGGAUGCACAGACAGCCAGGAGGUUGGCUCAGAAGCAGCCAUUCCUUAAAAGAGUGCGUAACAGCUCACUGGUCGAGCAUCCGUGCGCAGACAAUGAAACGGGGCUAAGCAUGAUACCGAAGCUAUGGAUUCACACCUCUGGUGUGACUGGUAGGGGAGCAUUCCAAUAACCGAUGAAGGAAGACCCGCGAGGGCUCCUGGAGGACUUGGAAGAGAGAAUGCAGGUAUAAGUAACGAAAAGACGGGUGCGAUCCCCGUCCGCCGAAAACCAAAGGUUUCCAGGGUAAAGGCAAUCUGCCCUGGGUAAGUCGGCCCC
rnacentral:ncRNA from 1 species